GCGUGGCGGGUCUACCUGCAGUCUCGCGAGAAGAGGGGGCAUACUUUGAGUAGCCGGCGCACGGGUGAGUAACACGUAGGCAACCUGCCUUCGGAUCGGGAUAACUUGUAGAAAGACGGGCUAAUACCCGAUAAUGCCACGGCACCGCAUGGUGACAGUUGUUAAUGCUACCUCUGCUGAAGAUGGGCCUGCGUCCCUGGGCCUAGUUGGCGGGGUAACGGCCCUGGGGUAACAGCACACCUAGGUGGUGUGAGAUGACUAUCCUGAGACUGGAACUGACACACUGUCCCUACUCCUACGGGAGGCCUCCUACAGGAAUAUUGCGCAAUGCCCGAAAGGGUGACGCCGAAACCUUGACUGAACGACGAAGGCCCUCUGGGUCGUAAACUCCUGUUGAAAAGGAAGAAUGGAGAGGGAAGAAUCGCUCGUGACCGUACCUCUCGACAAAGCACCGGCUAACUACGUGCCAGCACCCGCGGUAAUACGUGCCAGUGCUAGCGUUGUCCCGAUUCACUGCGGUGUAAAGGGAGAAUCACUGGGUCUACAAGUCGUUGGUGAAAUUCUUUUGCUCUGGUGUGGACUGCCAAUGAUACUGGAGAUCUUGCACUGGAAACUGGAAGACUCAAUUCCUGGUGUAGCGGGUGGAAUUCCUGAUAUCAGCGAAGAACACGCGGUGGUAAAGGAGUCUUCUGGUCGGCAACUGACGGCUCAUGCUCACAGAUACUGACGAGCAAACGCGAUUAGAUACCCUGGUAGUCCGACCCUAUACGAUGGAUACUCGAUGUCUAGACCAUAGGCUUCGUGGUCAAGUUAACACGUUAGGUAUCCCACCUGACGAGUACGAUCUCACAGCUGAAACUCACGAUAGUGACG
rnacentral:rRNA from 1 species